GUCAGUGUGCGCACUGGUUGGAAGCAGCAGUGGCUUUCGAUGUUGACGGUGUGGGAAGACAGCUGCGGCGACAGGACAGACUGACACUAGGAAUGACCAUUCUCUCCAUUUGAAAUUCUCCUGUCAUUGUGCAUACUGGUUGGAAGCAGCAGUGGCGUUUCGAUUGUGACGGUGUGGGCAGACAGCUGGGGCGACAGGACAGACUGACACUAGGAACGACCAGUCCCUCCAUUUGAAAUGCUACUGUCAGUGUGCGUACUGGUUGGAAGCAGCAGUGGCUUUCGAUGUUGACGGUGUGGGAAGACAGCUGCGGCGACAGGACAGACUUACACUAGGAACGACCAGCCUUUCAAUUUGAAAUGCUCCUGUCAGUGUGCG